rnacentral:lncRNA from 1 species
ACCAUAACCCUGAAUCGUACUCUUACCCGUCGAAGAAAAUAUCUGCAACAUAAGACGUUGCAGCCGUGUAGGUCAGCAUAUUGAAUAUGCCCGCAAGUCAUCAAAGAGAGGAGUAAAAUAAUAAUCAACUAUCUCUACAUGCAUAUUUGGCCGGUGGGGCUAAGUUUUGCAUAAAGCCAGUUUUAUCCUACAACAAGAGGGGUUGGAAGCAAAAUAUUACUACAUUGUUUGUUGUUAACAAGAUGGUUCCGCCAACCAAUUCUCGUACCCGAAUAGUUGUUAACACCCACAUCAUUAUUAAGUUGUGUCGAGAGUUCAGGGGAAAUUCAAUGCCUUCGGCUCAAGUUUUCCAUGACCGUGGACACGGCUAAUCGAUUAGGUUGGGCACUCUGCAGAGUUUUGCACACGUUCCCCACAAGAUUUGAUCGCCUCCGGGUUUGUCCUCGCACUUCAGGGUGUUUGAAGACCGGAAGAUCAAAACAUGGUCUUUCAACGGGUCCCUCUGAAUCCCUGUCGGUGCCCAUCCAUUCCUACGGUUCUUCUACAUCUGCUAGCACCGCCUGUCCAGAGUCGCCGCGUUGUCCAACCAAGCCAGAGCCCAUAAUAACUUGUGGCUGUGCAGGUAAGCCUUGAGUCUUGCAAAUAUCCGUCCGUCUCUUUGAGCCUGGGUGAAGCUUUCCGCAGGAUGUCAUGGCCUCUCCAGCAUCCCGGGUCAUCCACUGGGUUCUCCAGGGAGCCGAUCAACCGUCCUUCACCCAGAGUUGCAUUGCGUCCGAGGUCUUGAAAAUCUUGUCUUAACCGGUCUUGAUUAUUUAAUCAACCUCGCAUCACUCGUGUUAUGCACUCAACCGAAAUUCCGUCUACUCAAGCAUAGCAAUAUGAAAUUUGUCGUCCCGGGGCCAAGUAUCGGGGUUGUUGUGUGCCUACCACAUGAUACUACAAUCUAUACUAAAAAUUUCCAAGUACCUAAGCAGCAUGCAAUUGGGCAUAGGAUGGUAGAACUACGAUGCAUAAAACAUAGGUGAUAGUAUGAUCAAAAUGACUUGCCUGGUAUUACUUGAUGAAGAUAGUCGCUCUCAAAAUCCUGAUAAUUCUACUCGCCACACUCCGAGCAAUCUAUUGUAAACGAAUAGCAUUCAAUAAACAUUCAUGCCAAAAAGGAAGAACCAAAAGAACAUAAGAACAAAACAUGUCUUUGUGCAAAAUAACAACAUACUAAGGUUUAAUAAAAAAAAAGGUUCUAAGUGUGUUGUAAAGUGAAGGUGCAUGAAUGAGAUCAAAAGAGUUAAUGGACGAUGAACUAUUGCUAUAUAAGCUCGACCUGCAUACACUAUGGGAGAUGAUCAAAAAUAUUGGAAGAACAACAUGAAUGUUGUUUGACAAAUAGUAUAAGACAUAAGAAUUUAUUUGUAGAAAGAAUUUCUUGAAAUGGAGCACUACAACGCAAGUUAUAGCGAAUUGAAGUAUGAAUUGAAUUUGCAUUCAAAAGGUCAAGAGAAGUUGAACUGAAGUACGAUGGUUACGUACAAAAAUAUAUGACAUGAGUGUUUAGGGGUAAAAGGAAUCAAUUGAAAAGGUGGUACGAUUUGCAAGAUAAGAUCAAAUGAAUGUUUGAAUACAAAUUUGAAUCGCUCAAAUUUGUAAGGUUCAAAGGUCAAAACUAAUGAUGCUACUGGAUAUAGGAGAUCAAUAUGAGCGUGUAGAAAAAAGAAUUACUAGAUUUGAACUAGCGGAUCAAAAGAUACAAAUACGUCAAUAUAACAUUGAAUCGGCUUACAAUGAUGUGAACACUUUUGGGCACUAAUAGAUAAAUCUGAUUUGAUCAAAAUUAUAAGUUGAAAAGUUAAAACUAAUGAUACAAACGGAAAGAUUACUUUGAUACGAAUCCGACACAAUUGAAUUCAUCUAAAACGGAGCUACGGAUAAAAAGAUAUGAUCAAAAGAAGUUUGAAUAUGAAUAUGAGCAAAUUUCAAAAUUUGAAAAUUUCAAAAAAAGUUGAUAUGAUAGGUUCAUCGGAUAGGUGGGAUCAAGACGAAACUCUAGGCGUUGGUUUCAUCUAAUUCGGAUAAACGAGUAAAAAGUUAUGGCUAUUUGAAAAAUCAGGACCAAGCUGUUUUACGAAAGAAAAGUGCUAUGUCUAAAAGAAUUCUAGUACUAAUGUGUAAAUACAAAGACUAAUUAAUAUAUCUAAUUACUCUACCGUGUACUAGUGUAGGAAUACUAGUCUAGAAAUAAUAAACUACGGAAGUAUAAAAAAAAUACGAAGAGAAAUACCUUUAGAAUGCAGAGUAAGAAUUAAUUCCAAUGAGGAGACGACUUCGAGAAAUCCCGCCGAAGAGAAGAAAAAAAUAUUUUUAUUUAAUAAAUCUAGUUAAACCAAAAGAUUGAUUUAACCCGAAAUAGAUGAUUUUUGUAUGCUCCUAUGGAUCUAUAUUUAUAGGUGGAAGGGAGGUCUAAUGGUCCAUAGAUAGGCAAUGUGGGACUAAACAUAUACGUAAAGAGGAGAAAAUAGAAAAAAGAGAGAAGAAGGGCCGCAUGGGCAAAAAACUUUGGCCACCCGCAUGAGCACUUACGGCCAGCCGUGGCCUUUGUUUUUUUUUUUCAAACGAACAAAAAAAAAAUUAAAAACAAAGAAGAAAAACGUAUAAAUGAAAAAGAGAGAACAUUUUAUAUAGACAUAUUAUAUAUCAAAAAAUUUAGAAUAAAAUUUUCUAAAACAUGAACAUAUUUUCAAAACCAAAAAAAUACUUUUAAAAAAAAUUAUUUUUUUGCAAUAACUUUAAAAUGAAAAGGAAUUUGAAUUUCAAAUAAAUUGCAAAUACUUAAAAUUUGAAUCAAGACAUUGUCUCUGAUUUUGGAGGGUCAUUUUCCUCCUCUCGUUUGAUUUUUUUUAAUCAAAGGGUUUUGAAAAUAUUCAAAAUCAAAAUCGAAAAGGGAUUCAAAAUAGAAAAUUUUGGGAAAGUCAUUUUAUUCCCUCUCAUUUUUUUGAGAAGUUUCAAAUUCCACUCAAGUUUCAAUCACUCAAACAAACAAACAAUCAAUCUAAUAAUUAUAUUAACAUUCCAAAAUUUAUAAUUUUGGGAUGUUACACCUAAUGUGACUAACCUCGAGCCAACGUGGUUGGGGACCAACAAGCUCAAACUUGAUCAAUAGGUGAUUGUGGAGGACAUUGGAGAAUUGGAUACAUAAUGAAGAAUUAAGGGGUCUUCAUCAUUCAUAUUAUCUCAAGCCAAGUCAUUUGGAUUAUCGAGUUUCUAUCUUAUAUUCAAUGUGCCUCCUUACAGAACAAUUGGAGAUGCAUUGGAUGGUCGGAUCACCUACAAGGAAGGUGUUGACACCGUGUUCUUAAUGAAGCCAAGUUAGUAUGAUCAACGAACAACCAUCUACUACAUCAAUCCAAUGAUGUCUCGAUAACAAGUAUCUACUUCAUGCAUACAUUCCUUGCAAGGCCCGAACAUAUCUUAUCUUGGCCGAGCGAUACUACCGUGGGUAGCCACGGUACUACCGAUGGAGAUGUGUUACUGCUGCACUCAUGCAGUAGCAGCACCGACACGGUACUACAGCAUCCAGCACGGCAGUAUUUUGCUGCUGCCGCUGGAUGAACGGUACUACCGCCCAGCGAGCGGGAAUAAAAUUUUACAACCGCUGGCCAAGUGGUACUACCGUGAUGACGUGCAGUACUACCGCGCCGUCGGGACCGCGAGUGGUUAUACCCUCCUCUCGUAGUUCUGUCUCUCUCUCCAGGUUUCAUCUUGGCAUGAAUCUCUUGAUUCAUUCGUGUGGUACUUGUUUCCUUUCUCAAAGCAUCCAAACGAUGAUGUCUUAUUUCAAGUUGGGAUGUCUUUGAUAUUCGUAUGUUGGAAGUUCAUAUUGUACAAUAUGAAAAUAUUAGGCCAUGUGCUAUGCUUCCAAGCAAAGACCUUAUUGAUAUAUUUAUGACUUUCUUUUGGAUAUCUUGUUUGUUCCUUCUUGUAACCAUUUAGUGUGUACAUCCUUGUUUGUGGAUAUAUAUCAUCAUGAUUGUAUUCUACCUAGAAUCUUUUACACAUGAGAGAAGUUACAUCUCUAAUUGAUAUCCUCUUUUCUCUCACGUCCACCGUUGCAUUUCCUUUUUCCUUUUUUGGUGGCUUUGUGAAAGGAUUUGUCUUGAGUGUGUAUCUUAUAUUCUUGCAUCUUGAUGCACUCUUUGGUGGUGAAGAUUAUUUUUCCUCAUGCUUGUCUUGAUGAGGGUUUUUCCAUUUCGAUUGGUAUCCCUCCUCUUGACAAGGUUAUUACUUCCUAUCUUCACCAUGGGUUGUCACAAGCGUUGGUUCUCAAUUUGUUUUUUAGCAAGCUUGUGAACCCAUUUUCUAGUAGUGUGUGUGUGGGAAGGAUAUGUCUUGCACUUUGUUUCUCAUUUCAUCAAGACUAUGUUGAUGAGUAAUGCUCAUCCUUAUCUUAAUCCUCUCAAGUGCUUUGCCAUGACUCACACACAUUAUUUUGGUUGAGCCUAUCUUAAGUUGUUUCUUUUACAUGUUGCUCAACCAUUUGUUUUGUGCAAGUGAUAUGCUUAUUGUCUCAUCUAUCUUCUUUCACUCGUUGUGUGUUUUUAUUAAUUUUGGGGGAGCAACGAUCCUAUUUUGUGCAGUUGUAUCAAAUACAAAAAUCUCAUAUUGGUGCACAAAUCAUGGGGAGCUUCUCUAGUUUUGAUAAAACACUCCUUUGCCUUUAUCAUAAUAUCUUUUAUUCAUGUCGUUCGAAGGACCAUGUGACUUUUUGUUCCAUAUGGUAUCUUUUGAUUGCUUGCUUCUAUUUUGUAUGUCUUUGUGCCAUACGAUCCUUCUUUUAGCAAUCUUUGGGUCCUCAAUAUAGUUUGUUUUCCUCCAACUACUUAUCAUUGUAUUUGUGUAUUUCUUCGCACCCAUUUGUUGAGAAGUACACACUUUUUGGAGGACCACCUACUAUAUUGGCUUUCUAAACUUUUUGUCCAUUUUGGCAAUCGAUGCCAAUGGGGGAGAAGUUUAGAGAGUUUACUUUGGAUAUGUUUAGAGGGUUUUGCUUUUAUUGUGUAAGAAUUUACAUCUUGCAUUAUUGCUUUGUAUGUGUGUGCUUGGUUAUACUUAUUUCCUUAUAUAAACUCUCUUGAAGUGGUUGUCAUCAAUUACCAAAAUGGGGGAGAUUGUUAGAGCAUAUUUCUCCAUAUGUGGUUUUAGUAAUUGAUGGCAAUCCCUAUGGACUAAUGGUUGCCUUAAGUUAUAUUCAAAGGAUUUGUCCAUAGGCACUUCUUGAAUUCCAUCUGUUGGUGUCAAGGAGUUUAUAUGAUGACCAAGGUGGUAUUCAAGGUAUUAUCCAAAUAUUGGUCAUAAAUACACAAGGUUGAUCAAGACUAAGCAAAGAAUAAAUCAAGAUGAUCAUUGAUACGUCUCCAACGUAUCUAUAAUUUUUGAUGGUUUCAUGCUAUUAUCUUGUCAAACUUUGGAUGUUUUGUAUGACUUUUAUAUAUUUUUUGUGACUAACUUAUUAACUCGGUGCCAAGUGCCAGUUCCUGUUUUUCCAUGUUUUUGACCCCUUUCAGAGGAGAUUUUGAAACGGAGUCUAAACGGAAGAAAAUCCCCGAAAAGAUUUUUUCUGGAAUGGAAGAAGAUUGGGAAGCUUGGGAGCCAAGGCAGGGGAGCCUCAAGGGACCCACAAACCCCCACCCCGCGACCAGGGGGAGGAAGUGCCAUCCAAGCUUGUAGGCCCCGUGAGCGCCCCCUGACCUAGGGGUUGCGCCUAUAUAUUCCCUAAAAAUCCCAAAAAAAUCAGGAGAACAUCGAAAGUACUUUUCCGCCGCCGCAAGCUUCUGUCUCCGCAAGAUACCAUCUGGGGCACGUUUUGGUGCCCUACCGGAGGGGAUAUUCGGACACGGAGGGCUUCUUCAUCAACACCAUGACCUCUCCGAUGAUGCCUGAGUAGUUCACCAUAGACCUAUGGGUCCAUAGCUAGUAACUAGAUGGCUACUUCUCUCUCUUGGAUCUUCAAUACAAAGUUCCCCAUGAUCUUCAUGGAGAUCUAUCCGAUGUAAUCUUCUUUUGCGGUGUGUUUGUNGCGCGGUUCUAUCAACUGCUCGACAGUAAUUUGUUCACCCACCGUAAUACUUGCUAUUUUGAGAGAAGCCUCUAGUGAACACUAUGGCCCCCAGGGUCUACUCCACACCAUAUUUUUAGCCUUACACUUUUUACUUCGUUGCACUUUCCGCCUUCACAUCUCACUUUGCAAACAAUCUUGAAGGGAUUGACAACCCCUUUAAAGCGUUGGGUGCAAGCUUGUUUGUGUUUGCGCAGGUACUCUGAACUUGACGAGACCCUCCUUAUGGAUUGAUACCUUGGUUCUCAAAGUGAGGGAAAUACUUACUGCUCCUGUGCUGCAUCACCCUUUUUUCUUCAAGGGAAAAACCGACGCAAACCAGAGAAGUAACAAGAAGAAUUCCUAAGCGCCAAGGAAGGACUUUUGUUGCCGUAGCAGAAGAAUUUCUGGCACCAUUGCCGGGGAGGAAGAUCAAGUCAAAGACUUAUCCAAGUAGGUGUCGCAAACUCAUCUCUUGCAUUUACUUUGUUUGGCACUUGCCUCUCGUUUUCCUCUCCCCCACUUCACCAAUUUGCCUUUUUCGUUCGCCUUUUCGUUCGCCCUUUUUCUCGCCUGCUCUUUGUUUGCAUGUGUGCUUGCUUGCUGAAGUCACCAUGAACAAAAACACAAAACUUUGUGACUUCUCGAAUACUAAUAAUAAUGAUUUUAUUAGUACUCCGAUUGCUCCCGCCACUAGUGCGGAGUCAUACGAAAUCAAUGCCGCUUUGCUGAAUCUUGUUACGAAAGAGCAAUUCUCUCGCCUUCCUAGUGAAGAUGUCGCAUCCCAUCUCAAUACCUUCAUUGAGCUUUGCGAUAUGCAAAAGAAAAAAGAUGUGGAUAAUGACGUGAUUAAAUUGAAGCUUUUUCCUUUCUCGUUGCGAGAUCGCGCAAAAACUUGGUUUUCUUCUUUGCCCAAAAAUAGUAUCGAUUCUUGGGAUAAGUGCAAAGAUGCUUAUAUAUCCAAGUAUUUUCCGCCGGCUAAGAUUAUCUCUCUCCGUAAUGAUAUCAUGAAUUUCAAGCAACUUGAUCAUGAACAUGUUGCACAAUCUUGGGAGAGAAUGAAAUUAAUGAUUUGAAAUUGUCCCGCUCAUGGCUUGGGCCUUUGGAUGAUUAUUCAAAUCUUUUACGCUGGCUUGAAUUUCGCUUCUAGAAAUAUCUUGGACUCCGCUUCAGGUGGAACGUUCAUGGAAAUCACAUUAGGAGAAGCCACAAAACUCUUAGACAAGAUCAUGACAAACUACUCUCAGUGGCACACUGAAAGGUCACCUACUAGUAAGAAGGUACACGCUAUAGAAGAAAUUAACUCGUUGAGUGCUAAGAUGGAUGAGUUGAUGAAUUUGAUUGCUAGUAGAAGUGCUCCUUUAGAUCCUAAUGAUAUGCCCUAGUCUUCUUUGAUUGAGAGUAGCAACGCUAGCUUGGACGUUAAUUUUGUUGGUAGGAAUAACUUUGGAAACAACAAUGCUUUUAGAGGAAACUAUGUUCCUAGGCCUUUUCCUAGUAACUCCUCUAAUAAUUUUGGCAACUCCUACAACAAUACUCAUGGAAAUUAUAAUAGAUUACCCUCUGAUCUAGAGAGUAAUAUCAAAGAGUUCAUCAACUUGGAAAAAAAUUCAAUGCGUCCAUAGAGGAAAAGCUACUCAAAAUUGACGAUUUGGCUAAGAGCGUUGAUAGAAUGUCUAGUGAUGUUGAUGCUUUGAAAGUUAGAUGUGCUCCUCCCAAAAUCAACAUGGAUGAAACUUUGAAAGUUAUGUGUGUUUCCAUGGUUAAAAGCCAAGAAAGAACCGCCCAAAUUCGUGCUAGACAUGAAUGACUUAAAAAGGUGUGUUCUUGUGAUGAGAAUCACAAAGAUCUUAAAGUGCUUGGUGUGACUCCUAUUGAAUCUUUGUUUUCUUGUGUCAAACCUAAUGAUUAUGGGGCUGGAUAUGAAUCCACUUUGGUUGAAAAGUGCCCCAAAGAUUCAGAGUCCAUCUAUCUUGAUGCUAAAAGCAUUAAAAGUGGAGUAGAAGAUGUUAAAACUUUGAGUAGUAAUGAAAUUACUACUGUGGAUUUCAAGGAAUUCAAUUAUGAUAGUUGCUCCUUGAUUGAAUGCAUUUCUUUGAUGCAAUUCAUGUUAAACUCUCCACACGCUUAUGGCCAAAACAAAGCCUUUACCGAUCAUAUCGUCGAAGCCAUGAUAAAAUCUCUUGAAGGGAAACUUGAAUUGGAAGUCUCUAUCCCUAGAAAGCUUCAUGAUGAGUGGGAACCUACCAUCAAAAUCAAAAUCAAAAACUAUGAAUGCAAUGCUUCGUGUGAUUUGGGUGCUAGUGUUUCUGCGAUUCCAAAGGCUUUAUGUGAUGUUCUGGGUUUUAAUGAGAUUGAAGAGUGUUCUCUUAAUUUGCAUCUUGCUGAUUCUACUGUCAAGAAACCCAUGGGAAGGAUCAAUGAUGUUCCUAUUAUUGCAAAUAGGAACUAUGUACCCGUGGAUUUCAUUGUGCUUGACAUUGAUUGCAAUCCUACAUGCCCUAUUAUUCUUGGUAGACCUUUUCUAAGGACUAUCGGUGUUAUCAUCGAUAUGAAGGAAGGGAAUAUUAGAUUUCAAUUUCCUUUAAGGAAGGGCAUGGAACACUUUCCUAGAAAGAAAAUAAGAUUGCCUUAUGAAUACAUGAUGAGGGCCACUUAUGGUUUGAGCACCAAAGACAACGAUAUGUGAUUCUAUCGCUUUUAUGCCUAGCUAAGGGCGCUAAACAAUAGCGCUUGUUGGGAGGCAACCCAAUGAAUUUAUCUUUUUCUUUCUGUUUUGUUGCGUCCACACUUUCAUAAUUCUGUUGUGAUUGUGUUUUUUGUGUUUGAGCCAAGCAAAGCAUUUAUGACUAGUCUAGGUAAUGGUUGUUUGAUCCUGCUGGAAAAGACAGAAACUUUUCGAUCACGAGAUGAUUUUUCAUUUUUAUUCAGAAAUAGCUUUUUAGUUGAUUCUUUUUGCUUCUGAUUGAUAUGCUUUUUUCCAGGCCGUCGUAAUGUUUCAGAUUUUUUGAGGUAACAGAAGUAUACGAAGUAUACAGAUUGCUACAGACUGGUCUGUUUUUGUUGAGUUGGUUGCUUAUUUUGAUGAAACUAUUUUUAGUAUCGGGGGGUACUAGCCAUGGAAAAGUGAGAAUACAGUAGCCCAACACCAAUAUAGAUAGAAUUCAAGUUUGCUACAGUACAAAAAGAAGUGGUAGUUUGUUUUCUUGUGCUAAUGUUAUCACGAGUUUCUGUUUAAGUUUUGUGUUGUGAAGUUUUCAAGUUUUGGGUGAUGUUCUCAUGGACGAUGAGAUAAGGAGUGGAAAGAGCUCAAGCUUGGGGAUGCCCAAGGCAUAUCAAGCCAAAUUCAAGGACACCAAAAAGCCUAAGCUUGGGGAUGCCCCGGGAAGGCAUCCCCUCUUUCGUCUUCAAUCCAUCGGUAACAUUACUUGGAGCUAUAUUUUUAUUCACCACAUGAUAUGUGUUUUUCUUGGAGCGUCUUGUAUCUUAGGAGUCUUUCUUUUUGUUUUGUCACAAUCAUCCUUGCUGCACACCUUAUUGAGAGAGAGAGACAUGCACUCAUCGUGAUUUUGCUAGAAUGCUCAUAGUGCUUCACUUAUAUCUUUUGAGCUAGAUAUUUUUGCUCUGGUGCUUCACUUAUAUCUUUUGAGCUAGAUACUUUUGCUCUUGUGCUUCACUUAUAUCUUUAGAGAGCGGCGGUGCAUGAUUUGGUAGUUGGCUUAUGCUAUGAAAGUAGUCCCAAAUGUGAUAGGUACCCAAAGAGGAUACAAAAACCUCCAUCUUCAUGUGCAUUGAAUAGAAAGAGAAGUUUUGAUUCCUCUCAAUUAGUUUUGAGAUGUGGAUUCGGUAAUAUUAAGAGCUAUGUUAGUAGGGUGUUGUGAAUCUAGAAGUACUUGUGUUGAAGUUGGCAAUUCCCGUAGCAUGCACGUAUGGUGAACAGCUAUGUUAAGAAGUCGGAGCAUAAUUGAUAUAUUGAUUGUCAUCCUUUGUGUUGAGGUCGAGAUCGCGCGAUGGUUAACACCUACCAACCCUUCCCCUCGGAGUAGGUAUUUAGCACUUUGUUUCGAUUACUAAUAAAAACUUUCGCAACAAGUAUGUGACUUCUUCAUGACUAAUGUGAGUCCAUGGUAUAGAUGCACUUUCACCUUCCACCAUUGCUAGCCUCUCUAGUGCCGCGCAAUUCUCGCCGGUGCACAAACCCACCAUAUGCCUUCCUCAAAACAUCCACCAUACCUACCUACUAUGGCAUUUUCAUAGCCAUUCCGAGAUAUAAUGCCAUGCAACUCCCACCGUUCCGUCUCAUGACUUGUGCCAUCACUCUCAUAUUGUCAUUGCAUGAUUGUAAGAUAGCUAGCGACAUGUUUCAACGUCAUACGCCAUGCUAGAUCGUUGCGCAUCCCGGUACACUGCCGGAGGCAUUUCCUAUAGAGUCAUCAUCAUUUUGAGCUGUGAGUAAAUAAAAGUGUGAUGAUCAUCAUUAUUAGAGCAUUGUCCCAUGUGAGUAAAUAAAAAAAGAGGCCAAAGAGCCCAAAAAAAAGAGGUCUAAGAGCCCAAAUAAAAAAAGAGAAAAAGAGAGAAGGGACAAUGCUACUAUCUUUUUCCACACUUGUGCUUCAUGAUAGCACCAUGUUCUUCAUGAUUGAGAGCUUCUUACUUUGUCACUACCGCAUGCUAGUGGUAAUCUUCAUUAUAUAACUUGGCUUGUAUAUUCCAAUGAUGGGCUUCCUCAAAAUUGCCCUAGGUCUUCGUGAGCAAGCAAGUUGGUUGCACACCCACUAGUUCUACUUUUGAGCUUUCACAUACUUAUAGCUCUAGUGCAUCUCUUGUAUGGCAAUCCCUACUCAUUCACACUGAUAUCUAUUAAUGGGCAUCUCCAUAGCCUUUUGAUACGCCGAGUCAAUGAGACCACCUCCUCCUUUUUUGUCUCACAAACACAACCACACUCUAUUCCACCUAUAGUUCUAUAUCCAUGGCUCGCGCUCAUGUAUUGUGUGAUAGUUAUAAAAAAAUUAGAAAGUAAGAGUGCGAAAACAAUUACUUGGUUAAUACCGGGGUUGUGCAUGAUUUACACUAGUUGUGUGAGGAUGAUGGAGCAUAGCCAGACUAUAUGAUUUUGUAGGGGUAACUUUCAUUGGCCUUGUUAUUUUGAAAGUUCAUGAUUACCUUGCUAGUUUGCUUGAAGUAUUACUGUUUUCAUGUCAAUAGCAAACUAUUGUUUCGAAUCUUACGGAUCUGAACAUUCAUGCCACAUGAAAGAAGUUGCAAAGGAGAACUAUGAGAGGUAGCAUUCCACAUCAAAAAUUCAUUCUUUAUCACUUCCCUACUCGAGGACGAGCAGGAGUUAAGCUUGGGGAUGCUUGAUACGUCUCCAACGUAUCUAUAAUUUUUGAUGGUUUCAUGCUAUUAUCUUGUCAAACUUUGGAUGUUUUGUAUGCCUUUUAUAUAUUUUUUGGGACAAACUUAUUAACUCAGUGCCAAGUGCCAGUUCCUAUUUUUCCCAUGUUUUUGACACCUUUCAGAGGAGAUUUUGAAACAUAGUCCAAACGAAGAAAAUCCUCGAAAUGAUUUUUUUUGGAAUGGAAGAAGAUCGGGAAGCUUGGGAGCCAAGGCAGGGGAGCCUCAGGGGACCCACAAGCCCCCACCCCGCGACCAGGGGGAGGCCGCGCCAUCCAGGCUUGUGGGCCCCAUCAGCGCCCCCUGACCUAGGGGUUGCGCCUAUAUAUUCCCUAAAAAUCCCAAAAAAAUCAGGAGAUCAUCGAAAGUACUUUUCCGCCGCCGCAAGCUUCUGUCUCCGCAAGAUCCCAUCUAGGGCACGUUCUGGUGCCCUGCCGGAGGGGAGAUUCGGACACGGAGGGCUUCUUCAUCAACACCAUGACCUCUCCGAUGAUGCGUGAGUAGUUCACCAUAGACCUACGGGUCCAUAGCUAGUAACUAGAUGGCUUCUUCUCUCUCUUGGAUCUUCAAUACAAAGUCCUCCAUGAUCUUCAUGGAGAUCUAUCCGAUGUAAUCUUAUUUUGCGGUGUGUUUGUNGCGCGGUUCUAUCAACUACUCGAUAGUAAUUUGUUCACCCACCGUAAUACUUGCUAUUUUGAGAGAAGCCUCUAGUGAACACUAUGGCCCCUAGGGUCUACUGCACACCAUAUUUUCAGCCUUACACUUUUUACUUCGUUGCACUUUCCGCCUUCAGAUCUCACUUUGCAAACAAUCUUGAAGGGAUUGACAACCCCUUUGAAGCGUUGGGUGCAAGCUUGUUUGUGUUUGCGCAGGUACUCUGGACUUGACGAGGCCCUCCUUCUGGAUCGAUACCUUGGUUCUCAAACUGAGGGAAAUACUUACUACUCCUGUGCUGCAUCUCCCUUUCCUCCUCAAGGGAAAAACUGACGCAAACCAGAGAAGUAACAAGAAGAAUUCCUAGGCGCCAAGGAAGGACUUUUGUUGCCGUAGCAAUCAUCACACAAAGUGUACAAGAUGUACCGAGAGGGAUCAAGUGAUCCCAUGGUAUGGUAAGAAUUGUCCAUAAUGCUUUUGUGUACUAGCCCAUGGUCCUUGUGAGAGUUCUAUGUGGGGUUAGGUGUGUCUCCAUGUGUUUGCGUCAAGAGGAAGAUCUCAUUCAACCUAUGAAGGAUGUCAUCAAGUGGUGAUCGUCAUCAAGAUUGCGGUGUGCAAGUUCAAGUGGAGCAUCAUGAAGAUAUCAUGCUUGAAGCUUUCCGUCCAUUGUGGUGGCAACGGACUUGUGAAGAUGUGCUGAAGAGUGGCUCACCCGUAGUUAGUAUGGGGGAGCAAUCAAUUGUCUUCAUCAAACCAAGGCAAUGAAGAAAGGUGGUCCAUCUUGAGUAAGCCAAGAUCAUCAUCGUCUAGCUCAAGAGGACCAGGUGCAAGGUAUAGGUUUGCCCUUGAUAGGUUUUCUAUUUCAGGAUAGAUUGUCGUACUGUCAAGGUUGGCUCUCAAGUGAGUAGCUUGAUCGCAUCGUUCAUUGAGAGCUUAAACAAUUUGCAUCCGUGCAUCAUACUUCUUGGUUUUUGUUUGGUGUUUCUCUUUGUUAGUUUCAGAUCUUAUGGUCAUCUUCAUGACAAGCUCGAGUUCAUCGAAAACGGAGUCCAUAUGCAUCUUCUAUGAUGUUUUCGAUGUCGGAAGUUUUUACCGGUCUUAUUCGAGGAAGGGUUCUCACCAUUUUCUCAUGGGCCUUUUCUCCCUUGCUUCUUAUUGAUAUUUCUAUCAAGAUUGGGUUAACCCAUGUCAUUAGCUUUCUAACAAACUUAGUUUCAUUGAAUUCAGAGUCGGUAUGCGAAAGUUAAGGCAGUUUCUGUGGCGAAUAGUAGUACCGUUUGUGCCGAGCGGUCGUACCGCUCCGUCGGACUUAAUUUGCGCAUCCUUUUUGCCUCGGCAUGGCUGGUGAACCUCCCGAGCGGUAGUACCGCUCCGUCGAACUUUAUUUGCGCAUCCUUUUUGCCUCAGCGUGGCUGGUGAACCUACCGAGCGGUAGUACCGCUCUCUGCGGGUUGUGAAGCAUAACGGUUGGAUUUUUCCUCACCUAUAAAAGGGGGCCUUCUUCCCCAUUGAACCUUAUCUCUUCAGCUUGUGUUCUUCCCCCAUUCUUAACCUUCUUCGAGCUUGCUAACUCUCAAUCCCUCCAAUGAUUCUUGCUAGUUCUUGAGGGAAAAGAGAGAGGAGAUCUAGAUCCACAUUUCCACCAAUCACUUUCUCCUCUAAGUGAGGGGAACCCUUUGGGUAUAGAUCUUGGAGUUCUUCGUGUUCUUCUUUGUUCUUCCUCUCAUUUUCCUCCCUAGCAUUAGUUGCUUUGGUGGGAUUUGGGAGAGAAGGACUUGGGCACUCCGUGUGCCCUUUUCAUUGCAUUUGAUGCAUCGGUUUGAGUUCUCCACGGUGAUACCUGGAAGUGAGAAGUUGAGAAGCUUAUUACCCUUGGGUACUUGGUACCCCUAGAAGCUUGGUGGUGCAUCGGAGCUCAGCCAUUGUGGUGUAAAGCUCCGGGCAAGCGUCGGGGUCUCCAGUUAAGUUGUGGAGAUUGCCCCGAGCAUGUGUGAUCACCUCGAACCCAUAUGCCAUUGUGGUGAAGCUUCGUGGUGUUGUUGGGAGCCUCCAAUUAAGUUGUGGAGAUUGCUCCAAUCUUGUUUGUACGGGUUCAGUGACCGCCCUCAAGGGUCCCUUAGUGGAAUCAUGACAUCUUGCAUUGUGCAAGGGCGUGAGGAGAUUACGGUGGCCUUAGUGGCAUCUUGGGGAGCAUUGUGCCUCCACACCGCUCCAACGGAGAUUAGCAUCUGCAAGGGUGUGAACUUAGGGAUACAUCAUCGUCUCUGCGUGCCUCGGUUAUCUCUUACCCGAACCCUUUACUUAUGCACUUUACUUUGUGAUAGCCAUAUUGUUUCUUGUCAAAUAUCUUGUUAUCACUUAGUUGUUUAUCUUGCUUAGCAUAAGUUGUUGGUGCACAGAGUUGAGCCUAGUUGUUUUAGGUUUUGUGCUUGACAAAUUAAACGUUAGUUUUAUUCCGCAUUUGUUCAAGCCUAAACCGUAAUUAUUUUAAAGCGCCUAUUCCCCCCCCCCCCCUCUAGGCGACAUCCACGUCCUUUCAGCUCGCAAGGGACCAACCCAGCGCUCCCGUAACCGAUCAUCGCCAGGACUCCACCCCGAACCGGACUACCACCGCCUGCGCUCGCCAGGACUUCUUUCCGCGAGUAGAUAGCCCAGGGACCCCGAUCCCGUGCCCCGACGUUUCCCUGUUGCCGCAGAAUCGCACCUCUCCGAUUCGUUCUAUCGCCGAGACCUCAGCAUGACGUCGUCGUCGCCGGAGUAGUCCCUGUCGUCAGAGUCCGCCCAGCCAUCACCGUCGUUGGAGCAUCACCGCAGCAGCUUCGCCAGAGUCAGCAGCUUCACCGGAGGAGCUAAGCCUGAGACCGAAGCCACAUGUUUUUCCAUGUUUCUCAUGGUGAGCACGUGAGCGAUCCGAUUCAGCCAGUCUUGACACACACGGGGCAGUUGCUACAGUACCCGAUUAACCCGCAUUUUUUUUUUCUGUUUUAGCUCAGACAGGUUCUCGAUAAUGUGUUCAAACGUGUUUAACUUGAGUUGGACCAGAUUUAGUUUAAACUUAUCGGAGGCCAUAUUUUUCAAACUGUUCGUCCAAACUAAUUGUUUCUUUUUGCUUUAUGACUGUAUCAGCAUGUAGAUGAUUUAUAUCUGUUGUCAUGCUACUUUUGUUUUGGUUUUACAAAACUGUUUUCUUGUUGUUGGUUUUUAUUUGGUGUUAUAUGAAUGUGGUGAUUGAUUGUUGUCAUUGUUUGAAACGUGUAGAUUGCCGGAGUGUGACGCAAACUAUUGUCAGGAGUGUGAUCUUUUGAACCAGAAUCAAGGCAAGUUACAUGUUGAUCAUCCUUCACCUAUUAUUUUUCUAUGCAUGUAGUAUUAUAUCACCCUAUGAAAUUAUGCAUGUAUAGGAAUAUAGUUAUUAUGCUAUGCUAUUAAGCUAUCCCCUCGGCAUUGAAGAUCUUGGUAUUUGUAGAUUGCUAUGCUUUGUAGACGGGCUUGGUUCCUGUAUUCACUGAGUUUAUGUGAGGAUUACUAUGAAAUAAAUUGAGUAGUAAUUAAGGAUAUAAUACACCUCUGGGAGGAUAUGGUAUUGUUGGGUGGUUUCAAGAACAUCAUGGUUUCGACCCUCUGAAUGUAAGCGGAAUGUCGCCCAGGUUCAAAAAGAUCAGACAGACUUAGUGACUAGUAGCUUCCAUGUGCGACCACUGGCUGUAUGGGCUCUGGCUUAGUUGAUCAGUUGUGGGAACAUUACCCGAAUGUGCCAGUAGAUGUAGUUAUGGUAGUUGGGAUGGGCCUCCUAUGGGACUAGGUGACUGCAUCAAGGGGCAUCUCCACAUAAGCCUUUAGCCAUAGGAUCGGGGUCCCUAGGCUAUUGUAAGUGCAUCUAGUGCCCCUUAGUGAUUUUGGUGGUUUGAAGACUUAUAGGUUAGCUAUCUAAUGUGUUCAUGAGUGUACACAGGAUCUAUAAGUCGCUGAGGAGUUUGAAAUAUUCGAUGAAUAUCGACCCCUAAAAAUGUAUAUCUUCGGCUGAAGAAAUUGGUCUGAAGCUGAAGAAUUGAAUUGUGAAGAAAUUGCGAUGAAAUUGAUAUUCCUCAUGAAGAAAUUGAAGAUUAGGAAUUCGGUGUGUCCUGAAGAAAAACAACCUGAAGAUUUUGAAGCAUGAAGAUUUAUUCUCUCUAUUUUAUUUUCUUCACCUUUGAGUCAUAGGAACACCGUACUGUUAAAGGGGGUCAAAGUAACACGUCAGAAUGAAUUUCCUCAUGAUGCUCAACCCAAGCCUAAUCCUACCAAAAGCCUCAAGUGAGAAAUAUGAGAGACAUGAGGACUCUCACAGUUGAGGGUCCCGACCGUUACCGCAAGUCGCGCCACAUCACUGAUCUUAUCCACACCAACGGUCAUAUUAUUUAAGGGCAUUAAGGUAAAAUCAUGUCGGGAUGCUCCCAGGCUAUAAAUAGCCACCCCCACAACCAUUAGCUGGUUGGCUGCUCCGUUGGAAACUGACACUUGUCAUAAGAGCAACCCAAAUUCCUCAGAGUCUUCAAGAGUAAUUCAUCAGUGAGGAAAUACCCCAAACACCAAACCACAAACCGAAAACCAAGUGAUUGAGCAUCACUGAAGAAGUUGUUCCUAUGUGGGACUGAAGCCUUUUACCUUUGAGGACUAUGCAUCCUCUAGACGGUUAGGCGUCAUGGUCUAGAGCAAUCCAGCACUCAAUUGUGGAUCGCCAAGUGACCAAGUUUGUGAGGGUUUGGAAGUCUGUCCUGAAGACUUACCACGAGUGUUGGGCGAGGACUCUGUGUUCUUAGCCCAAUGAGAAUACGGUAGGGACUGUGUGUCCCAGGAUUGUGUGUCUUUUGGUUUCAAUACCAAGCCGCUCCAAACCAGAUGUAAAAUUGUCACAGAAGUUGGAACUGGAUCAUCAACCACUGUCUUCACUGUGAAACGGGUUCUAUUUCUUCAACUCUUUAAAUUCCUCAUACUGUAUGUUGAUGAUUUUCACUGUCACUGUUUGAAGAAUUUGCUGAAGACUUUCUCUGAAAUUCCUCAACCCCAACUUCUUCACGCGAGUUAAUCCUCAUCUGUUUUCUCCGUGCCUGCAUACCGUGCAAACUAUUUUUCAUAUUCUUCACCUUGAAAACUGUUGUAGUGAUACUUUGCACUCCUGAUCCUUUGUUGUUUCCGCUGCAAGUUAGUCAUUAGUGAGGAAUUUCCUCAAACGGAAUUUCCUCAGUGAUGAAAUUCUAAAAAUCUCCUAUUCACCCCCCCCCUCUAGUCGAUAUAACGCACUUUCAAUUGGUAUCAGAGCAAGGUACUCCCUUGUUCUGUGUGAUUUUGGUUUAACCACCUGGAGUUUUAGUUAUGUCGACUACAAACAUGAUCUAGGUUACUGCGGGAUGUCCUACUUUCGAAGGAAAGGACUUUCCCUUCUGGAAGACCGAGAUGCAAAUGCAUCUACAAGCUAUUGACAAUGAUCUCUGGUAUAUUGUGGAACACGGUGUCCCUAUCGUCGCUGCUACUAUCUCUGCCGCUGAUGUGAAGAAAUUCAAGCAACUUGAUUCUCAAACGAAGAAUAUCAUCUGUGGCCAUCUGAGCAAGGGCCAGUAUGGCAGAGUGAGUGCUUUGGGCUCAGCAAAACUUAUCUGGGAAAGGUUGUCCAAAGUUAAUGAAGGAGUAUCAACCCAGCGUGAUUCUCGUGUUGAUGUUCUUCACAAUCUCUUCAAUUGCUUCAAGAGACUUAACAAUGAAAGCUGCCAAGAUACCUUUGAUCGCCUCAGUGACAUAUCAAAUGAACUGGAAGCACUGGGAGCUCGAGACAUUACUGACCAUGAAGUUGUGAAGAAACUGGUAAGAUCUUUGGAUUCUUCAUUUGAUACUUUAGUUCUGAUGAUUCAAGAAAGACUAGACUACAAGAUGCUUGAUCCAGCUGAUAUACUCGAAAGACUCAAUACUCAUGAAUUCCAACAAGAAGAAAAGAGAGAUCUAUAUGGACCAAGCUAUUCUAGACCACGUGCACUGAAGGCCAAAGCAAUUUCCUCAUCUGAAGAAGAAGUCUCGGAUGGUAGCAUUGGUGAUCCUGAAGAAUUUGGACAGGAGCUUGCAAUGCUCAUGAGGAAAUUCCAGAAGUUUACACGACGUGGCCAGUUUGGUAAAUCUUCAAUAAGAGAUAUGAGGAAAUCAGAAUCUUCAUCUGAGGACUACAAGAAAAGAACCUGCCACAAAUGCAAGAAAUCGGGUCACUACAUUGCUGAUUGUCCUCGUUGGGGAAAGGAAUCAAAGAAGAAGAAAUACAAGGAUGAAAGUUAUGAUGACUCGAAGAAAAAGAAGAAAUCUUCAAAAUCCUCAUCUUCAAAGUCCUCAUCGCACAAGAAGACUAUUUUCAGAAAGGCUGGGGCACUUAUUGGCAAGGAAAUGGAUUCUGAGGCAGAAUCCGAGGAAUGUGAUGAAGAGGAGGGUUAUGAUGAAGACUCAGAAUCUGGACAGGCUAGCCUUGCACUUGCAACCACAUUUGUCAGCAAGUCAAUCUUCAACCUUGAAGAAAAUGAUAACACCAUCCACAUUGAUGACUAUGCUGAUGACUUCGCUCCAACCUAUUGCUUCAUGGCAAAAGGUUUAAAGGUACCGAAUGAUGCUUCCUCCUCUGAUUCAAGUGACUAUGAACCUGAUGAUUAUAAAAAACCCAGUUACAGUAAACUUGCUAUCAUUGCCACUAAACAACAAACUGCCCUGGAAAAGCUUCAGAAACUGCUAGACGGAAGUGAUGAUCUGUUGAAUGAUGAAAUGAAUCUUACCCAAAUCCUCACUGAAGAUAUGAAAAGUCUUUAGUCCAGAUUUGAUAAUCUUCAAGAUCGUCAUGUUACACUCCUUGCUGAUCAUGAGAAACUUUCCUAUGAAUUUCUUCAAAGGAAGCUUGAUCUUGAGAAGCUAAGGAUUUCUCAUGACGAUCUUCGUAUGGAAAAUGAUUCAUUACUAGCUCAACAGAUCAGUGCUGCUCAAGCUGAAUUCAUUCCUCCAUGUCUUAAAUGCAUCGAAUGUGAAACUGCUAAUUCUUCACCAGAAUCAUCAAAUGCUUCUAUUGCUACAAAUUCUUCAACUGCCCCUGUAGUGUCAAAUUCCUCACUUGAGGAAACCACAAAUGUCACUGAUGAAAAUGCUGGGCUGAAGGAAUUGUAUGUGACAGGCAUAUACAAAAGUCUCAAAGGACACCAAACCCUUUGUGAUGUGCUCAAAAAGCAGAUCUUGAACAGGAACCCGAGGAAAGAAGGAAUUGCCUUUGAGAGGAAAUUGAAUGCUGAUGGAUCAUACUGGAAACCUGAGCAGUAUCCCAAAACCUCAUGGGUUGCUUCUACUGGGCCUCCUUUUGAUCCAUCCAAUCUAACAGGCUUUUCAUGUGAUAUAUCCUAUUCCUCAGAUGAGUCAUUUGACUCCAACUAUAAACUGUUCAAAAAUCAAUCUGGUGAAGUAUUUGCUCGAUAUGUUGGAACUAACUGCAGGAAUGGGCCUCUCCUGAGGAAGAUCUGGGUUCCCAAAAGUUGCCUUGAAAAUCUUCAGGUGAAUGUACUCAUGACACCACCUAUGAAGAAUUUGAACCGCAGAUCAAAUUCCUCAGGAGGACCAAAGUCUUCAAGAGGAUCAAAAUCUUCAACUGGUCAAAACUAUGCUCGUACCCGUGCUAAUGCUUCUAACAUGCAGGGAAAUUACAAGGAAUAUGAAUAUGAGUGUUAUUCUUCAAAUCAUUAUGUUCAUAAAUCCUCAAAUAAGUUCUCUACAUAUUCAUUUGAGUACUUUAACCCCCCUACUGUUAAGAGAAGUGCAUUAGCUUCAAUGCCCCCUUUCUCAUAUGGUGCUCGCAGAAUGAUGAAUGCUUUACCACCCCUUCAGAUGUGGGUGGUGAAGAAAUUGAACUAAUCACUUCUGCAGGUCAGGUCUCUAGAUGAAAAUCGUCAUGUGAAGAAUUUGCUGGAAACCUGAGGAAAACGCUUGAUGGGACGCAAGCUAAUAUUUAUGAAAUAGAAAUAUUUCACACGUCCUUAUAAUUCUAUUUAUGAUGAAAUUCCUAUCUGAUGAAAUUGAUAUCAUAUUCUUCAAGUCCGAAGCAUAUGAGAUGGUAAACUGUACUAAUUCAUCUGCAGGAUGACAAACCCAAGAGUACUGAGUGGGUUCUUGAUAGUGGCUGCACACACCACAUGACUGGUGACCAAAGCUUGUUGAUGAAUAUGCCACUAACUCCAUCACCCCUGAAGCAAAUCACAUAUGCUGACAAAGGUAAAAGCAAGCUAUUGGGACUUGGCAAAGUGGCUAUUUCCAAGGAUAGGCACAUGGACAAAGUAAUGCUUGUUGCAUCCCUUGGAUUUAACCUCAUUUCAGUCUCAAUGCUUUGUGAUCUUGAUAUGAUUGUUAUCUUUGGAAGAUAUAGAUGUGUUGUCAUCAUGGAAUCUGAUAGAUCCAAAGUCUUCGAAGGUGUUAGAAGAGGGGAUUGUACAUUGUUGAUUUCUCUACAGGUCCUCAACCAGCCACUUGCUUACUAGCAAAAACCUUAGAAGGGUGGUUGUGGCAUCGAAGACUUGGUCAUGCAGGCAUGAGGAAUUUGCACACGCUCGCGGAGAAGAAGCAUGUCAUCGGCACCGAAUCAGUCAAAUUCCUCAAGGACCACCUCUACGGUGCUUGUGAGUCUGGGAAAAUGACCAGAUCCAAGCACCCCUCGAAGACUAUCAUGACUAGUACUCGUCCAUUUGAAUUGAUUCACAUGGAUCUAUUUGGACCUACUCAUUAUGCCACCCUAACAAAUGCAGCAUCUUUAUAUGGCUUUGUCAUAGUUGAUGAUUAUUCUAGAUACACAUGGGUGCAUAUCAUUUUAUAUAAAACUGAAGUGCAGGAAGUCUUCAAACGAUUUUCCUCAAGGGCCUCGACGAACUUCGGCGUCAAGAUCAAACACAUCAGGAGUGAUAAUGUAACAGAGUUUAAAAAUACUAGUCUUGAUAAUUAUCUUGAUGAACUUGGUAUUACUCACGAAUUGUCUGCUCCUUAUACUCCUCAACAUAAUGGCGUCUUCGAAAGGAAGAACGGGACUCUGGUUGAGAUGGCAAGAACCAUGCUUGAAGAAUAUCAAACUCCUCGUCGCUUUUGGCCUGAAGCAAUUAACAUUGCAUGCCAUAUCAUCAACAGGGUAUAUCUUCACAAAUUCCUCAAGAAAACCUCAUAUGAACUCCUCACACACAAGAAACCCAAUGUAAGUUAUUUCAAAGUCUUCGGUGCAAAAUGCUAGAUUAGAGAUCCUCACCAUAGCUCAAAGUUUGCACCUAAGGCACAUGAGGGUUUUAUGCUCGGUUAUGGAAAGGACUCACACACCUACAGAGUCUUCAACACCUAUCACAACAAAGCUGUUGAGACUGUAGAUGUGCAGUUCGAUGAAACUAAUGGCUCGCAAAGAGAGCAAUUGCCUCCUGGUCCAGAUAAGUUGUCUCCUGAGGAAGCAAUAAAGCUCAAAGCUACUGAAGACAUUGUUCCUACUGAGGAAAUUGAUGAAGAGAUCAUUCCCAGCACUGAUGAAAAUCAAGAAGAUGCUCCUGAGAAAAUAGCUCCUGAACCAAUUCCUCAGCCCAGACGAAAUCCUCAACCAGCUCAUCCGAGGAUUGCAAAUGAAGUGGAACUUGAAAAAAUCCUCAAUGACAUCAACGCGUCAGGUCCUCUCACUCGCUCAAAGCUUCACACUUAGUUAACUUUUGUAGGCAUUUCUCCUUUGUGUCUAUCACAGAACCUUCAAAAGUUGCUGAGGCUUUCAUGGAACCGGAGUGGAUCCAAGCCAUGCAAGACGAACUUCUUCAAUUCAAGUUGAAUGACGUAUGGGAGCUCGUCAAACGACCAGAUCCUCGCAAGCACAAUAUCAUCGGCACCAAGUGGAUUUUCCGAAACAAGCAAGAUGAGGAUGGUCAAGUGGUGAGGAAUAAGGCGCGACUUGUAGCCCAAGGCUACACACAGGUUGAAGGAAUUGAUUUCGAUAAAACUUUUGCACCUGUUGCUAGACUUGAAGCUAUUCGAAUAAUACUUUCUUAUGCUAAUCAUCAUAACAUUAUCUUAUAUCAAAUGGAUGUGAAAAGUGCAUUCCUCAAUGGUAAGCUUGAGGAAGAAGUAUAUGUUGCUCAGCCCCCAGGUUUUGAGGAUCCAAAGAAUCCACACAAAGUCUUCAGACUCAAAAAGGCACUCUAUGGUCUCAAGCAAGCCCCUCGGGCGUGGUAUGAUACAUUGAAGGAAUUCCUCAUGAAGAAAGGCUUCAAACCUGGUUCACUCGAUCCAACUCUUUUCACUAAAUCCUAUGAUAAUGAACUAUUUGUGUGCCAGAUAUAUGGCGAUGACAUCAUAUUUGGCUGUACUAACAAACGUUACAGUGAUGAAUUUGCUUACAUGAUGAGUGAAGAAUAUCACAUGUCUAUGAUGGGGGAGCUGAAAUUCUUCUUAUGUAUUCAAAUUCGUCAACAACGCAAUGGAAUCUUCAUAUCACAGGAGAAAUACCUCAAGGAUGUUCUGAGGAAAUUCGACAUGUAUGAAUGCAAAGGUGCCAAGACUCCAAUGCCUACCAACGACCACCUCUGCACUGACGAAAAUGGUAAAGAAUUCGAUCAGCAGGUAUAUCUCCCCAUGAUUAGCUCUUUACUGUAUUUGUGUGCAUCUAGGCCAGAUAUAAUGCUUAGUGUUUGCAUGUGUGCACGUUUUCAAGCAAAACCGAAGGAAUCACACCAUAAGGCUGUGAAGCAUAUUCUUCGAUACUUAGCUCACACACCAACACUAGGAUUAUGGUACCCCAAGGGCUCAAAUCUUCAUCUUGUGGGAUAUUCUGAUUCUGACUAUGCUGGUGACCGUCUGGAUCGCAAGUCAACCUCCGGCACAUGUCAUUUCCUCGGAAGAUCACUAGUGUGCUGGUCCUCAAAGAAGCAAAACUGUGUUUCACUCUCCACUGCCGAAGCUGAGUACAUUGUUGCUGGUUCAUGAUGUGCUCAAUUACUAUGGAUGAAGCAAACCCUCAAGGACUACGGCAUCAACAUGAAGAAUGUGCCUCUCUACUGCGACAAUGAGAGUGCAAUCAAGAUUGCAUACAACCCAGUACAUCACUCGAAGACUAAGCACAUCCAGAUUCGUCACCAUUUUCUUUGGGACCAUGUCCUCAAGGGCAAUAUCCUCAUCGACCAUGUGAAGACUGACGAUCAACUCGCAGAUAUCUUCACUAAGCCCUUGGAUGAGAAAAGGUUUUGCAAGUUGCGGUGUGAGCUAAAUAUCUUAGAAUCUUCAAAUGUUUUGUAAAAACAUGCACACAUCCUAACACUUAUGAAUAAUUGAUGACUUAGAUGUGCAACACACGAAGAAUCGAUUUUAUUCAACCAAUGAAGAAUAUCACUCUUAGUGUGCGGAAAUCAACGAAGAAAUUGAUUCUCAAGGCCCUACGACAAUUGUACGCAGCGUCUGAAAUCAACAUUCUUAUAUGGUGGGUCACGCCACCAUCCAACUUGAAAUUCCUCAAGUUGAAUUUCUUCAAAGUUGAUUUUCUUCAAAGCAGUUGUUCUUCAAACUUGUCUUUCUUCAAAACUGAAAUUCAUCAUCACGACGCUUUGUCACAAAAUCCUCAAGUUAAUCAAAAUCUUCAAAAACACUUGAUGAUUUUCAUUUGCCUAGAUAUAUAUAUAGACUGUGAUUUCAAAGUCCUCAACAGCAUUCACUUAUAGCUAUUUCUUCAAUUUGAUAUUUCAUCUAAGUGAAUGUGAUCGGACCCUACUUUCCCUCCAUGCUACUCUCACCCAGUCUAUUCAAUUCUUCAUAUGCGUUCUACUUGAAACUUUGUUCAAAAUCCUCACCGCGUCCUUGUCAGCUGAUGAUUUUGUAACAAAAUCCUCAGAUCUUCAAAAAUGAUUUUUAUAUUGUUACACAGUAACUGAACCCCACUUCCCACGAUCACCUAAGCACGAUCUCCACCGCUUUAAACGGUUGUUACACGUGUCAUGCGGAGACGAAAGGACAGGGGUAGUUCGGUCCGAAAGAAUCGGCCAGACAGUUUUCACCUGGGCUAUAAAUAUGUCCUUAGCCCCCUCGGUCAAAACUCUUCGCUCUCUCUCUCUCGACCUCCUCUCCGCUACACCAAAGCCCUAGCGCCACCGCUAGAAGUCUCGUCGCCGGCGAGGAAAAGAUUGACUGUCUCGACCUCUCCGUCGCCGAAAUAACGUCAGAACCAGAUCAUCUUCGUCCGCCGCCGCCGUAGUUGUCCUCUGUUGCCGAGUUAGGGCGCAGUGGACUCCUACCGAAGAGCAUCUACUGCUACUUCUUUCUCUGUUCUUCGUGAGCGCUAUAUAGGGUAAAUAAAAACCCUAUUUUUACAGCCCUUUCGAUCUACUAUUUUACGUAGAUUUGUGAAACCUGUUUUUCCUCAAGUGUCCAUCAGUCUCUAUUCCUCAAACACUGCUUAUUCCUCAACCCACUGGUUAAAUUCCUCAACUUUAAAAAAAAUCAUUUCAUCAAAUCUGAGAACGCAUAUGACCUCUCCAAAUUUCUCGCAACUAUACUCUAUUCACACGUACAAAAAUGUCAGCUGAUGAAUCUCUAGGUUCUGAUCAACUUAACUCAUUUGCAGCGUUUCUUGAAGAAAAUCUGCAAGUUUCAUCGGAAUCCUCAAGAGUUCAUUUUCCUCAGCAAAAGCCUCAGCUGAAGAAAAUGGAAGAUGAAAGGAAGCAAAAGGGUGGCAAGAAUCUUGAACAGAACACAGCCAUCGAUAUUCCUGAGGACAUAUACCUCGAAUACUGUACACCUGAUGAGCAAGAGACAAUUCCCAAGAGGAAGAUAAGGCUUCAGAAGAUAGAACGCCGGUGGGCUAAGGAGUGGAAAGAAUACAGAUUCGUCACUCCCAAGUACGCGAAGAAAUUCGCUCUUAAGCCUCCUGGCAAACGGCCUCCUCUUGAGGAUUAUCAGGAUGCACACCCCUCAAGCCUCAAGACAAUUGAUGACUAUCCUGAGGAAAAGACAAAACAUUUGUCAAAGCUUCAGAAGCAGGCAGAAGCUGUUGUGAGGAAAUUUAAUGAAGAAUCUGUUGCUGCUGCUACUGCCGCCACCUCCUCUGCAGCUGAAACUUCUGGCACAGCCAUUCCUCAAAUGAAGUCGGUGCCACCAAAACCAAAGGCUUCAAAGCCUCGGGAGAAAAUGCUUCCGAAAGCUGCACCAGCAUCCGCACCAAAACUCUCAGCACCACCAAAGGCUUCAAAGCUUGAACACAAGCAGAUUGUGAAGCAACUGCCUACUGUCUCUAGCUCCUCUGUUCCUUCUGCAACAAGCUCUGAGACAAAGUCUUCACCAACUCCAAUGAAGACUAAGGUGACUGCUGGGAGAGGAACCAGACCAAGCCCUGGCUAAAUCAUCAAAGUCCCUUCUGCAUCAGAAGGCAGUGAUGAAUAUGAUGAUGAGACUCUGCAAGCCAUCAUCAGAAACAAGCAGGAGAGGGUAGCACAAGCUUCAGGCAGCGCCAUUCCUCUGGCCAUGGACCCAAAAGUCCUCUUGGAUUACAUCAACAUAUGGUAUGAGGACCCCAACACUCCUAUUGAUGAUUUGAAGCUUCCUCCAGGCAUCAGCCACAUGGUGGCCACUUUCAUCAAUGAGGCCAAGUGGAAGGAGACACAAGCCAAACAAGCUAAGGCUGCGAAGCUCAAAAAAGGAGAAAUUCCUCAGACAGAAUCUCCUCAACUUGACGCCUGAUGCACUUGUGUCCACUCAGGCAGAAUUGAAGACUUUGACUGACAAGUACACCAAGCUCUCUGAUCGUCAAAGUCUCAAGAACAAUUUCAUCAAAUUUGCUACAGAUGCAGUUGAUAAUUACAACAAGAAGGCUGCCCCUCCAGCAACAACACAACAGCCUGAGAUUGAGGAACCACAAACUGCCCCUGCUGAGGAAAUCCCUCAAGAAAGUCGUGCUGAUGAACCGGCUAUUGAGGAAAUAACCAAGGAAACUCCAACUGAUGACUCUGCUCCAACUGAUGAAACUGCUCCAGCUGAUGCAUCUAAGCCAGCUGAUGACUCUGUUCCAGCUGAAGAAACUGCUUCAGCUAAGGAAAGUGCCAGGACGGAUGUGUCUCCGCCUCCUGAAGAGAAAAUGUCUUCACCAAAAUCUUCAAAUGUGAAGAAAAUGACUCCGUCUGCAUCAGACGUGAAGAAGACGAGCUGCUGAAAAGGAAGCUAAAAAGAGAAAAGCUUCCUCAACAGAAGAAUCAACUAAGACCAAGCGCCUCAAAUCUCUUGAUGAAAAUGGUCCUCUGGAGCAUGUGCCUCUCAACAUUGCUCCAUCUUAUGAGAUGACUCCCUUCGAAAGCAAAGACAAGGAGCACUUGACUGAUCAGGAAAUGAAGAAUGCUGCGUCUGAGGAACACACUGAUGAGGAAAUUCAGAUUGAUGACGGUCCUCAGACCUUCAUUCCUCCUGAAGAACCUGCUCAAGGAUCAGCUGAACCAGUUGAUGAAUUUGGCUCCUCCACCAAGCAAACCCCUCAAGCUGAGGAAAAUCAAGGAGAAAAUCUUCAGCCUGAAGAAAAUCCAAAUCUUGAGCAAAACCCUCAACCUGAGGCUCAGGAUGAAGAUAUUCCUCCUCCUGAGCAAAAUCCUCAACCAGAGGCUCAAGUUGAUGACAUUCCUCAACCAGAGAAAGAUCCUCAACCUGAAGCACAAGCAGAAGAAAUUCCUCAUCCUGAGGAACAUGCUGAAGAAAAUGCCCCUGCACCAAAUCCAGAGAAUGCUCUAGUCGUUAUCAAUCCAGAAACUGCGAUGAUUGUCUCCCCUCAAGGGAAGAAGCAAAACCUUCAGCCGAAGCAACGUCAGCCAUUCUCCAAGCGGCCAAAGUUUCAAAAGGAAUCCUUCUUUGAGGAACGCAUGUAUCUCAUCGAAGAAAAUCCUUAUGAAAAGCCUCGCAUCAGGCACCUGAAGUUCUGGACCAGGACUCAGCUCAACUACUAUGCAUCCGUGAUGUGUGGAAGAAACAAGAUUUUUCAGCACAGGCAUAUUCCUCGUGUUGAGCUUGAACAAAUCCCGGGCUUUGCCCCAGUCCUCAACGUUCUUCAUGAAGCAGGACUGCUCCCUAUGUGCUCUGAUAUUUGUGAUUGGAAUAGUGACGUUGUUCUUCAAUUCUAUGCAACUCUACACAUCUCUGGAGAUCCAUCAGAUAUCAACACUUGGGUGCUGGAUUGGAUGACGCAGCACACACACUUCAAGGCCCCUACGAAUGAGCUGCUGCGAGAACUUCCUGUGUCAAUUCCUUCAGAGCAGGCUAUGAAGAUGUAUGAUGAACGGGAGCUGCCGAAUAAGCUGAUGGAAGUCCUCAUGAAGCCUUUGGCCAAGGGGCAACCACCAAGAACAACCUUCUUGGUCCAUGAGCUGAAGUAUGAACCCAGGACUGUUUACAGAAUCCUGUGUAGUAUUCUUGCGCCAAUCAAGGGUCAUGAUGAUGAAGAAGACGUUGUAGGCAUCAUGAAGAAUAUCCUCUUCAACAUCAUCCAUGGCAUUCCCAUCAACAUUCAUGAUUUCUUCUUGAGGACUCUGGUGGAUAAUGCUAUGUCCCCUUUUGACCUGAAGAUUUACGCUUCAUGGAUCAUGAGAUUCAUCAGACGAAGGUCGGGCAUCAACUAUCACGCUGAUUUCAAUAAUCACCAAGGAUAUAUGCCUCCACUAAGGGUCAACAAGAAGACUUUCGAGCCUGUUGAAGGAAAAGCAAAGUUUGUGAUUGAUGAAGGCAGUCAGCCCCUUGAUGGCCAGCUCCGAGAGCCAGAUGCAUAUUACUCGUGGGAUGACACUGAAACCCAUCCACCAAGUCCUGUUGCUCCAAGGGUGAUGAAUACCAGAGAGCUUCUCCUAAGUCUUCACCAAAAGGUUGAUCGAAAUCACAAGUGGGUCAAACACCAGUUCGGCGCCAUUGUGAAAACCCUCAAUGAGACUCAGAAUGCCGUGAAGCUUAAUCAUCAUUAUCUUCAUGAGGUUUUUGAUCGCACCUGGGCCACACUGGCUCAUUUGAAGACUCCAGCAGAACUUGAAGAAUUGGAGUUUGCACAGGACUUCGACUGGUCAUGGCCACCAAAGAAGAAAUUCAAGCCAAUUCCAGUUCCGGACCUUGAGGACAGUUCGUUUUCUUCAUUCCACACUGCUGAAUCAGAUGAAGAUCAACAAGACACUGCCACUGGUCCAAGGAGGAAGUUUGCUUCCAAGAAUCCUCACGCAUCUUCAUCAACUGCCAAGAAGUGAAAGUCUUCACGGGAUGUUAGUCCUCAGUUUGUCCCUUUUUGUCACUUGAUGACAAAGGGGGAGAAAUCUGAGAGUUAGUCUUCACGUGGGGAUAUAUUUUGGGGCUUAUAAACUUUAUUUAAGUUACAAACUCUUGUCUCGUCUGAAGUGUUUUAUGUAAUGAGUUGUAACUUAAGCCCGAUGGUACUCUGACGCUUUUGAACAUUUUUCUUCGCAUGCUUAUUCCUCAAAAUAUUAAUGCACGUAUGCUGGAAUUCGUCAGAUACCAUUUCUCAUCAUGCAUUCUCAAUUUCUUCAUACUAUAUGCCAAAUGUAUGCAUGAUUUACAAGACUCACGGGGAGAUCUCCAUGAUAUAAAUCAUCAAUGUGAAUUUGCUGUGAAAAGCAAAACCCUCAAGAUAUGCACAUCUUCAGGGGGAGUCUCUCUGAAUCUUGAUUUCAAAUUCCUCAAAUGAGUAUUUACACUCCAUAUUUUUAUCCCCGUUGAAGACUUAACCUAAUUGUCAUCAACCACCAAAAAGGGGGAGAUUGUAAGUGCAUCUAGUGCCCCUUAGUGAUUUUGGUGGUUUGAAGACUUAUAGGUUAAGUAUCUAAUGUGUUCAUGAGUGUACACAGGAUCUAUAAGUCGCUGAGGAGUUUGAAAUAUUCGAUGAAUAUCGACCCCUAAAAAUGUAUAUCUUCGGCUGAAGAAAUUGGUCUAAAGCUGAAGAAUUGAAUCGUGAAGAAAUUGCGAUGAAAUUGAUAUUCCUCAUGAAGAAAUUGAAGAUGAGGAAUUCGGUGUGUCCUGAAGAAAAACAAUCUGAAGAUUUUGAAGCAUGAAGAUUUAUUCUAUCUGUUUUAUUUUCUUCACCUUUGAGUCAUAGGAACACCAUACUGUUAAAGGGGGUCAAAGUAACACGUCGGGAUGAAUUUCCUGAUGAUGCUCAGCCCAAGCCUAAUCCUACCAAAAGCCUCGAGUGAGGAAUAUGAGAGACAUGAGGACUCUCACAGUUGAGGGUCCCGACAGUUACCGCAAGUCGCACCACAUCACUGAUCUUAUCCACACCAACGGUCAUAUUAUUUAAGGGCAUUAAUGUCAAAUCAUGUCGGGAUGCUCCGAGGCUAUAAAUAGCUGCCCCCCACAACCAUUAGCUGGUUGGCUGCUCUGUUGGAAACUGACACUUGUCAUAUGAGCAACCCAAAUUCCUCAAAGUCUUCAAGAGUAAUUCAUCAGUGAGGAAAUACCCCAAACACCAAACCACAAACCGAAAACCAAGUGAUUGAGCAUCAAUGAAGAAGUUGUUCCUGUGUGGGACUGAAGCAUUUUACCUUUGAGGACUGUGCAUCCUCCAGACGGUUAGGCGUCAUGGUCUAGAGCAAUCCAGCAGUUAAUUGUGGAUCGCCAGGUGACCAAGUUUGUGAGGGUUUGGAAGUGUGCCCUGAAGACUUACCACGAGUGUUGGGCGAGGACUGUGUGUUCUUAGCCCAAGGAGAAUACGGUAGGGACUGUGUCUCCCGGGACUGUGUGUCUUUUGGUUUCAAUACCAAGCCGCUCCAAACCAGAUGUACAACUGUCAUAGCAGUUGGAACUGGGUCAUCAACCACUGUCUUCACUGUGAAACGGGUUCUAUUUCUUCAACUCUUUAAAUUCCUCAUGUUGUAUGUUGAUGAUUUUCACUGGCACUGUUUGAAGAAUUUGCUAAAGACUUCCUCUGAAAUUCCACAACCCCAAAUUCUUCACGCGAGUUAAUCCUCAUCUAUUUUCUCCGUGCGUGCAUACUGUGCAAACUGCUUUUCAUAUUCUUCACCUUGAAAACUGUUGUAGUGAUACUUUGCACUCCUGAUCCUUUGUUUCUUCCGCUGCAAGUUAGUCAUCAGUGAGGAAUUUCCUCAAAAGGAAUUUCCUCAGUGAUGAAAUUCUAAAAAUCUCCUAUUCCCCCCCCCCCCCUUCUAGUCGAUAUAACGCACUUUCAGCUAUCUGCUCGCGGCUAAAUGCUUAUGUGGAGAUGCCCCUUGAUGCAAGAAAGGAAUAAUAUUGGCUCAAGCUUCAAGCUAGAAGACUCUUCAUUUUAUAUUUGUGAGAAAUCACUUUUGAGUCCAUAGGAAAGCCAAUACUAUUAAAAGGGGAUGAGAUAGUUAAAUGAACGGAUUUCUCAAAAUGCUCAAAGUUAGCCACCGAAAUACUCAUUCAUUUUUCCCACAUAUCCACUCUGUCAAAUUCCAUAUACACAAAUUCGGUGUCACCAACUUUCACAUUUCGGACCCACCGCGUUUGGCCUUAGACAGAAACCCUAGCCAUUCCCACCAAAUCGGUGCAACCGAAUCCAUAUUGGUGCUACCGAGUUUGGGUGACCAACUUUUGGGUGCCUCGAUACACAAAAUCGGAAUUUCCGAGUUCGAGUAUCGGUGCCACCGAGUUUGGUCAUCUGACCGUUAGCCACCUUUUCUGUGUCACCGAGUUUCAUACAUCGGUCUCACGGAGAUUCAAAAGUUGAUGCCUUUAGUGCUAAUUGGUACCACCGAGUUUUUCACUUCAGUGUCACCGAGUUUGCCACUUUGUGAGUAACGGUUGGAUUUUGUGUGAUGCCUAUAUAUACCCCUUCACCCACCUCUCAUUCCUGGGAGAAGCACUCAGAACACACACUUCAUUGCCAGAUCCAUUUUCUAAGAGAGAACCACCUACUCAUGUGUUGAGACCAAUAUAUUCCAAUCCAUCAUUUGAAACUUUAUCUCUAGCCUCCCCAAACAGCUUUCCAUCAAAUCAAUCUCUCCUACCCAUGCAUAUUCAGUGAGAGAGUGAUUUUGUGUUGAGGAGACUAUCUUUAGAAGCACAAGAGCAAGGAGUUCAUUGAUCUACCACGUCUAUUACCUUUUGGAGGGUGGUGCCUCCUAGAUUGGUUAGGUGUCGCUUGGGAGCCUCCUACUUCAUGUUGUGGAGUUGAACCAAGACUUUGACGUGAGCACAAUGAUUGUUCUAUUUGGAGUUUCUUCUUCUUCUUCAUUUAUCUAGGAUGGAUUCCAGGCCGAUAGCUUGGGAUAGCAAGGAUGGAUGUCGUUCUUUUAUCGUUUGUUUUCGUUCGUAUCCGGACCCUAAUCUUCUUCACAAUGAUUGAUUAUGUUGUUGUAUUGAUGUGAUCUUGAUGUAGCUUGUGGUGAGUGUAAGCCAACUCCUUAUACUCAUCUUUUCAGUACAUGUACUCGUAUCGAUAUCCAUUCUUGCGAAACGACGAGAUGCGUUUCUAUCCCUGUCGAGGCCCUCACGCCAAAAUAAGGAUAGGGCAUCUUGGGCCAAUUUGAAACGCACAAGAUGCGAUCCUAUCCUUAUUUUGGCUCGAGGGCCUCGACAGGGAUAGAAGCGCAUCUCGUCGUUUUGCAAGAAUAGAUAUCGUUACAAGUACAUGUACUGAAGAGAUGAGUAUAUGGAAUUGGCUUACACUCACCACAAGCUACAUCAAGUUUAAAUCACUACAACAACAUAAUCAAUCAUCAUGAAGAAGAGUAGGGUCCGACUAAGGACGAAAACAAACGAUAAAAAACGACGUCCAUCCUUGCUAUCCCAGGUUGCCGGCUUCGAACCCAUCCUAGAUCGAUCAGGAAGAAUAAGAAACUCCAAAUAGAACAAUCAUCGCGCUCACGUCAAGGUAUCGCUUUACUUGUACCUGCAACUGGUGUUGAGUAAUCUGUGAGCCACAGGGACUCAGCCAUCUCAUUUCCAAAGGUAUCAAUACUAGCAAAGCAUAAUGGGUGAGGUAUGGUUAAGUGGUGAGGCUGCAGCAAGCGACUAAGCAUUUAUUUGAGGUGGCUAACUUAGAAGUACAAGAAUAAGACGGGGAUGAUCUACGCACAUCGGACGUGAACUAACAAUGAUCAAAUGAAUGAUCCUGAACCCUACUUACAUCUGACAUAACCCACCAUGUCCUCGAUCGGAGAAGGAGCUCAAGAAAGAGACAAUCACGGUUACGCACAGUUUACUUCAAGUUAUCUAGAAUCGGAUGUUAAACAAAGUUUCCAAGUUUGUCACAUAACCGCGGGCACGGCUUUUCGAAAGAUUUAACCCUUUAGGGGUGCUCCAACUAGUCCAUCAUAAGUUACCACCAAUCCACAUAGAAAGCCUCGACCACGAAACUCAUGAUCUCCUCGGAUUCCUUAUUGGAAAACCUCAACUCUGAGACAGCCCAAAGCAUCACCGGAAUCCCGAUGCACAAGAUAUUUCGUAAACGGUAAAACUAAUCCAGCAAGGCCGCCCGGCGUGCCGAUAGAGCCGAUGGGAGCCGCGUAUCUCGUUCUCAGGGCACGACCGGAUGAGCUAGAUGUCGGGUUGGCUCAAACUCCGGGUGACCAGGGGGCGCUCGACAUCGCUCAUGUUGGACCACCACUCAUGAGGACCACUGGCCCGGGAGUUGAUUAAUUUCCUUGGGGGUCGACUAGUCCCUAUGCAAGUUUAUUAGUUAUUAGGCAAAUGUAGUACCAAAGUUGGGCCUUGCCAGACAAGCUUUAACUAAGACGAGUUAUCAAGGGGGUCCCCAUAACAACCCCGAUCGUGUUAGGAGCGCUCAAUUAUGGAAUAUAACACCGGUAGCCGAAACUAAGGCGACAAAGGUGGAACAAAACACCAGGCUAGAAAGGUCAAGCCUUCCACCUUUUACCAAGUAUAUAGGUGCAUUAAUUUAAAUAGCAUUAAUAUGGUGAUAUAACAAGGAUCCCAUGUUAUCACAUGGAAGCAACUGCACCUGCAACUAGCAACGCUAUCCAAUGGUUAAGCAACCGGUAACAUAGCCAUUUAGUGGUUUGCUAGGUUGUAGAAAGGUUGAAGGUUUUUAUGGCAAUGUUGGAAGGCUUAUUAAACAGGUGGUAGGCAUUGAGACAUAGCGAUAGAAAUGAAACAACUAGCAUGGCAAUGAUAGUAAUGGUAUCUAGGGAAAUGAUCAUCUUGCCUGUGAUCCGGCCUGGAAGAAGAACGAAACCCUCAAGUAGACGAACCAACAUAGUCGAACGGAUCCUCACACUCUGAAGCGGAUCGGAGCUCUAUCGAGAAGAAGCAGACUGGAAAAAGAAUCAACACACGAUAUUCACCACGACACAUGCACGAUAUGAUGCAAAACCUAAUAUGAUGCAUGUCCAUUUCAAUUAUGCAAGGCAUGGCAUGGCAAUUCACAACAUCAAACACUACACAUUAAGUGAAGCUCAAUAUGCAACGAGUUGCAUAUUGACGAAACUCCACAUUCGAAUUAUUUAAUUCACUCCCGUUUAGGUACACGACAAUUUUAAAAUAUUGUUCACAUGGCAAGAGGUGAAGCAUGUGAUUCUACACGUCAUUCUAGUCGGUUACACAUAUAGCUCAUCUCCGACGGAGUUACGGCCUACAAGAUACGGGCAACGCAAGAUAUUAUGCCAUGAAUACAACAUGCAUGCAAUUUUAUUAAACACUGGCAAGAAGGAUAUGAAGCAUGUGUCACCAUGAGGAAAGAAAGAAGACCAUGGGGCAAAGCGGAAACGAUGCCACGGCAACAUUCCGGUCCCGAUAACUCGACGAGAUAUCAGUACCAACGAAUUUUGAGCGUGUGCAUGUCAUGCCAAAGAAUGAUGGGGUGAUCCCGGUAACCAGGUUCCCAUGUGUCGGGGCACGACAAAAGAGGGACAACGUGCAACGAGCAAUCAUAUAUGGUGCAAGGAUACGGUUCAACUCAUACAUCACAUGUAUUCGGUCCACGGCAUCGUCCCAACGGUUAUACCUUUGAAGCGUGCAUUUCGGAGCGGAUCGAGGUUCGUCGAGGGAAGUAGUCGUACACGUGUCGUCGUGGACGUCGUUGAAGUAGUCGUACACGCAUCUUCGGUGAUGGUAGUUGUACACGGUUGGUGACGAACUUGACGUAUCCACGAUCUUCGGAGGUCGACGGUAGUGGUUCCCGUAGUUGUUCACGUGUCAAAUCGUUGGCCUUGAUGAAUCGGAAGGGAUACUUGGCGAUCCAAGGGUGCUCAUGUUCAAGGAGGUCUCGGUUCCGGUGAUGGCAGCAAAGGAACAUGGUCGUCUUGCACUUGCGUGAACCAAAUCGAAAUGACACAAAAAAUUACGGGUGACGCAUCCAAAUGGCCAACCUAAACCAGUUGCAUCUGAGGGCAGCAAGGAGCCACGACAAAGGUCAGCGACAACAACAACACACAGGAGUGGCAACAGCAUGCUAUAGCAACAGCAGGCGGUAGAAGCAGCAAACAGUGGAUGUUGGAGGAAGCAAAGGGCUCGGGCAGCUUGUGUGCAGGGGAGAAAACGGCGCAGCCUAGGCGCUGGCAGCUGUGAGGAGGCGGGCAACAUCGCAUGGGUUCUCGAUAGAGGCCAAUGCCAUGGGAGGCGGGAGGCGGUCGAGCGCCAUGGCUGGGAAGGAGGGGCUCGAGGCGAGCUCCUCAUGGCUGGCGGGGCAGCGGGCGAGACCGAGCUGGGCCGUCUCCUAGGAGACGCUGCGUCAACGCUCGCUCGAGAGCGACCACGAGGGGUUGCUCUCAUUCUCCACGAAGCAAAACGAAGGCGGCACGACCCCUCGUCGGAUUGGGAGCAGGACGCAGAGGGGCGACAAAUCCUCGCCGGAUCUGGAGGUGGGCGAUUUAGCGGACCAAAUCCGAGGCGGAGCAGCAACGCAUGACGGCGAACGAAGCUACGGCACGGCUGGCGGAGCUUGCGGGCCGACCAUGACAGCGAGCGAAGCAGGGGACAUGGCGGCGACAGGCGAUGAACUUGGUGCUGGCAGGGAGCUUGGGGCGGAGGCGACCUCGAGGCCGGCAACGGAGUAGUCUGCGGGGCUGCGUCGACCGGCGAGCGCGCUGCUGCGACAGCGGGCACGGCGGCGAGGCCUGGGCGUGAUGAGGGCGGCUGUUGUAGAUGCGUGGGGACGAGGAGCAUCUCCUCGACGCAGAGGAGGCACAUGCGACUGCGGGUGCGGCUAUGUGUUGCGGGUGUGACGAGGCUCUCGGGCCCUGGCUGCUCGAGAGAAGAUGGGCGCUUGCGCGGCUGCGGUUGGCUGGGCUGGAUCGGGCAGGGGCGGCACUGGUUGGGCAGAUGGGAUCUAGGAGGAUCCCGAGGAGGGACAAAGGGGGCGGCGGCGCUGCGGGGUUAGGGUAGGCUAGGUCUAGGGUUAGGUCAAGGUUUGUCGAAAAUGGACUAGAGGCACACUAUAUAUAGCACGAUGGUUAGUUUUAGGGGCAUGUGGACCCUCUGAUUUAGAUCGGGUGGUCGAGAUAAUUAGGUUAGGAAGUCCACUCAAGAAACCGAUGACGCUUUGCAGUAAAACGGGGUUGAUCUAAACCCAACGGUCAAGACUGUCUGAUUCGUUCUGGGGGAAGUCUCGGGCUAGGUUGCGCGUAGGGUCGGUGCACUGUGCGAAGGGGCUAGGCAUAGAAGAGCGAAGGGGCUAGGCAUAGAAGAGAGGGAAAACGUACACCCGGCAUGAGGUUUUUAAAACACCAAAACGUCCAACAUUUGACCGGCUAUAGUGUCGCUAUAGGUUUAACGGUUCGGAUUCGAACGAACUCCGAUUGCGAUGAAACUUGGCAGGCGGUCUACCUAUAACUAAAUAAGAUCACACGCCAACUUUCAACCCAUUCAGAAAAUGUUUUAUACACACUUUUAAAAAUAAUAUUUAAAUGAUGUCGCGGGCGCGUGUGUGUGGUUGGUCUCAAAACGGUCAACGACAAAAGGAGAGAACCGACAACUACUAAUGGAUGCAAGUUUUGAAAACUGGCGACAACGAAGUGCCGAUGCAAUGCAGAUGAUGCGCAUGAUGCGAUGAUGAAUGCGACAAAUAAAAUAAUCACACUGUGGCAACCGAAUAAAAGGAGAAUCUUUUGGAGCGUCGGUCUCGGGCUGUUACAGUUACCUUCAGGUGAACUUACACCGGUGUGAUAUUAACCUUCUUUAUUGGGGACUGGUUAUCUUCCUAUGCAAUCACAUUCGUUCUGCGUACUUGACAAUCUGCAAGUUUCUCAUCCGUCUUAUUCAAGUCUUGGUACGCCAGCGCUUCUAGGCGCCUACACUAUACCACAUGCUUCGGUAUGCAGAUUCCAUGCGAAACUCUCGUGGUCAAACUGGUGAUUUUAGGAAAUCGAUAUGUGUCAACAGAUUGAUCUCUCGACGUCUUCAUCCAUCUCCAAUGAUCGACAUGUGUUUGUGUGUGGGCCUACCCAUCGCUAUCCACAGCUAGCCUUAUCUCUUCAUUCGAUGAAGCUAGUCCACACUUUCUCUCUGCCAAGUCUUUCUUUCCUCUGUUCUUCGUCCGCCUUCUCUCCUUUGCUCCUCAUGUCUCCACCAUCGCUCGUCGGUGCUAUCAAAAAACACCACCGAUGUUGCCCCCGUGCGCGGGGAUGGUGGUGCCGCCGUUGUCUCUGCUGUAAAAUCCGCUUUCUUGCAAACUCGAGGGGCGGGGCAAAAUCGAUGGUGCAUCCAUCCUGCGGCGAGUAGCGGUCGGGUACUCGCUGGCGAUAGUUCUUCAAAGCAACACAAGAUGGGUGAGGGAGUCACAUGUUGCGAUGGUCAUAGUGCUGGAAGCAUUGAAUUGUACGACAGCGAUGAGAUCUUGGCGCCAACAUCAUUGUUGCAUUCCCUCGCCACAUUAUCCUUCAUGGAGUCGUCGGUGCUACACCAGACUCCGACCAGACUUACAACGGCAACGAGGUCUCAAUGCCAACAUCAUUGUAGCAGUCCAGCUCGUUGACGAUGCCACAAUGCAACUACGGAGGGGAUUGUGUGCUUGGAAGGAUGACGAUGCCACAAUGCAACUACGGAGGGGGUUGUGUGCUUGGAAGGAUGACGAUGCCACAGUGCAACUACGGAGGGGGUUGUGUGCUUGGAAUGAUAUAAUGGUGCCGAUUCAUACGAUGGUUGGGCCACCGAUGUCCGAUGAAGCAUCGCCGUGGCACUAGUGUUGCGGUGAAGCAUCAUCAAAGCUGAUGGUGCUUCGUUGAAGCAUCGUCGGCACUGCAAUGUAGCAUGCACGUCACAACACUGGCGAUGCCUUGCAAUGUCCGUCAAAGCUCGCCGGAGCUGUGAUGUGCCGCUCGUCAGUGCUGCUAUGCAGCAGCGUGCAUGCCGUUGUAGAGAGGCUGCUCGGUGCUGCGUUGGAGGCAGGAGUGGCGGCAGUGCUGCACUGCAUCAAUGGUGAGGGCUGUGCUGCUACACUGCAUCAAUGAUGGCUGAUGAUGCUGCAAAGUAGCAUCCAUGGCGUCUCCGACAACACGAGACGGUGGCUAGCAUCGCUGCUGUACAGCUGGGCAUUUCUUGGCGUAGAUGGAAGAAAAAAGGAAGAGAGACGCGCUGCACACCUGUUGGAUCGAACGACUAUAUGGACUUGAAUUGGACGGCUGAGCAAGCGGUUGAUCUUUCCUCAAGAUCAAUCGGCUGAUUUCUAGCAGCCCGGUGGUUUUUAGUUCUGGUGAAAAUGAACAAAACUUCUCUUUUCUAAAACUUUAACACAAAAUAAACCUAAUCUAAAAACUUUAACACAAACUGGACCGCACAAAAAAAGGGUCCCUUUUUGCACGACACCCCAGGCAAAAAGGGCAUUUUGUGAAAUAUUUUCUCUAUAUGCACCUGAAAAAUAUUAAGAAACUGUCAUUGAACAAUCUAAGAUAUUUAUUGAUAUGGAACAAAAGUUUAUAUAUAAAAACCCAGACGACUUGGACAUACUCCCCCCGACCCAAAAUGAAUGUCUCGUAUAAAGCUGAGACAAUUAUUUUGGGGCGAAGGGAAUACAAAGUAGGCCGCUGCUUCCAUACUUCGUCCAUGGAUGCUUCGGACACUCCAUUUGCUUGCUUGCAUAUUUGGACACUCCACUUGCUUGCUUGCAUAUUUGGACACGCCACUUGCUUGCUUGCAUAUUUGGACAAGGGAUGCUUCGAACGCCACUUGCAAAGAGAUUAACCCUAAACCAUCAGAACCAACGACAGCAUGUCUCUCCAAACAUAUAUGGGCUCCCAGUGCAAUCUGCAUUCUGCAAGAUGAAAGAAAAACAAGAACCAUGUGGUGACCCAUACCAUACAACCAAAUGCACAAAAGGGGGACAAUUAUAUGGUCCAGCAACGAUACAAGUUCCCAGUUAUAAAUGUUUAUGGUCCAUGUAUAAUAUCCUGAUGAACAAGCGCGGCAAACCGAAAACAAAGCAAAGCUAGUGCCAUCAAUGUUUCACAGAAUUUAUUCUUCCACCUCUGGACAUCUAAACACGAACGUCCGCCGGAUGCGUCUCCUCAGGCAGGCAAAGAUCGCUCCUAGUUAGUUCCCUCGGGCUUCUGUCAAGAUGAAGAGAUGUGUUAGUCCGUAGAAUAAUGUUGCAGUGAUAGCAAAAAGCAGCGCAAAUUGUAUCUCUAUAAGGACAGCGAUUACUUACAAACUGGCAAACCACAUAACCCUACAAGAAGCAUGGCAUGCCGAUAAAUCAUGGGAAAAUCUGAGCAUUUAGCUUUUCUUACAUCAAAAGGGCCGAGCCCUUGCUCCAUUUCAUCGAAAUGAAACAUCAUAUAGUAAGUGGUCGUCAAAAUCUGCCAACCAAUGCUCCGCGUUUGGAGGAAUCCACGCAUUAUGUUAAAAGGGUGUUCGCCACAUAAAUGAGAUUUGAUAUACC